UGAUAGCAAGACGAUGGUUCAAUUAGAUGUGUUAAAGGAGAGACAGAGAAAUCUUUUCUUCGUUACAAACUUAAAAUUUUAUUUGACAAAAAUGAGUCUGACUUGCUAUCU